AUGAAAAUAUUGUUUGACUGUAGUUUUAAAAAAAAGAACAAACGAAAGAAAAAAGAAAACGGGUGAAAAUUAUACAGUCAGAGAAACAUAAAAAAGACCUAUAUUUAUGAUUUUUCAUGUAAACUCUACUGUUAACACAAUAUAAUUAUGUAGAUUAGCGAGCAACGAUACGGUUUCAGGAAAAAUCGCACUACUUCACUGGCAGUAAUGGAUUUUUUUGAACAAAAACAAUUUCCAAUGCAAAAGAGAAUAGGCAAUAUACUGUAGGGGUCUUUUUUGAUUUCCAGAAAGCAUUUGAUACUAUUGAUCAUACUUUGCUAUUGAACAAAUUAAAGAUGUAUGGUAUCAGGGGAUUGGCACAUAACUGGAUGACAAGCUACUUGUGCAAUAGGUACCAGUGUGUCACCUUUGAUGGGACAAAUUCUGAGUUUUUGAGGAUUACAUGUGGGGUACUCCAGGGUUCUGUCCUUGGGCCAUUGCUGUUUCUUUUGUACAUUAAUGAUAUAUGUUUGGUUUCCAAGUCUGCUAGUUGUAUUUUGUUUGCUGAUGAUACAACUGUGUUUUGUAGUGGGGAUCAUUUAGGACAGCUCCUGGACAAAAUGGAGAAUGAAUAACAUAAAUUUAAGCUGUGGUUCGAUUCAAACAAAUUAUCGCUCCAUUAUGGUAAAACUAAGUGUAUCAUAUUUGGUAAUAAGCCCAGGACCGUAAAUAGAAAUUUAUUAUUACAUGAUACUAAAAUUAAAAUUGUAACAAGUACAAAAUUUCUUGGUGUUUAUAUUGAUGAUAAAUUAAGCUGGAAAAUGCAUAUUAACUAUGUUAAAUCUAAAAUGUCAAAAGUCAUUGCAAUUCUGCAUAAAGUACAAGACUUCCUCUUCCAACAUUCUUUGGCUAUUUUGUAUCAUGCAUUACUUGUUCCAUAUAUGACAUACUGUGUUGAGGUUUGGGGAAACACAUAUAGAACCAAUACUAAUCCAGUAUUUCUAUUGCAAAAGAAAGCCAUAAGAAACAAC